CCUACGGGUGGCAGCAGUGAGGAAUAUUGGUCAAUGGCCGGAAGGCUGAACCAGCCAAGCCGCGUGAAGGACGAAGGUGCCAAGCAUUGUAAACUUCUUUUGUCAAGGGACAAAAUCAGGCUCGAGAGCCUGACCGCGGGUACUUGAAGCAAAAGCAUCGGCAAACCCCGUGCCAGCAGCCGCGGUAAUACGGAAGAUGCGAGCGUUAGCCGGAUUUAUUGGGUUUAAAGGGUGCGUAGGCGGGCGGUUAAGUCAGCGGUAAAAGCCCGGGGCUCAACCCCGGCGAGCCGUUGAAACUGGCUGUCUUGAGAUGUCGAGAGGUAUGCGGAAUGCGCAGUGUAGCGGUGAAAUGCUUAGAGAUUGCGCAGAACUCCGAUUGCGAAGGCAGCAUACCGGCGGCGAUCUGACGCUGAGGCACGAAAGCGUGGGUAUCGAACAGGAUUAGAUACCCGUGUAGUC
rnacentral:rRNA from 1 species